CAGGGAGGUGUCCGAGCAACUCAUUUCUACUCACUCAGACAAAGGUCUGCACCAUCGAGCUAUGGCCGCACGCUGGUUGUGCUGGAACGCGACGCCAACGAGCUCGACCUCUAACCGCGGCGCCGCCGCUGAGCAGUCGCUGUGUCGCGGUGGCAUGCUGCACAGAGUGACUAACGGCACCGGAUUGGCAGGCGUAAUACAUGAGCAGGCAGUGGCUAUCGUGACUGCCGCCACUGGCACCGUCACCCCGGUAGUCGAAUUCCGAGGCCCAGAGGACGGACGAGGCCAAUAAAGUCGCCGCACCACUG